rnacentral:lncRNA from 1 species
AGGAGAAGUCAGUAUGUAGCUGGGGCUGAGAAUCACCACCCAAGUCCCAGAGUAGCUCCUCUGUCUUUGUGUGGUCUUCAGUGGACAUUCCCAGCAGGAAGUGACUGCAGUUCCCAGCCGCAGUGCCCGGUGGGACGUUGAAGUGGCUGAGAGGACACGGAGGAAGCACUGAUGUGUCCAGUCGCAUGUGACUGCACAGUCCUGGGAAGGUGUUUAUUUGAAUGGGGAGAAGCGAUAGCUGUGCCCUCCAAGAUGGUGCCCAGCAGAAGUGGUGCGGUUGAGCUUCACAGCUCACUGGACACAAUUCUUGGGCUCACAUCACAGUGAAAUACCCCGAGUUCUCCAACUGAUAUACCUAUAAAUGUCAACGGACAGACACUGCUAAAUGUUUUUCAAAGCAGUAGGAAUUCUGAAUCUAGAUAUGUAUGACAACUACCAAACUCAAAAUAUAUGUCUGCAUACUGCAAUUAACAGCUUAUUUGGAUCUGGAUAAUGUGCAAGAAUGGAGAGACAUCAUUUUCAGGAAAGGACUAACACCAAAAUCUGGUCUGUAAACACAGUUGCCGAAUGGAAUUUGAAAAGGGGCUCCAUUCGCCAAGAUUCUGUGAAAAGCGAUACAAUAAGAGGAACAAAGAGAGAGAGGGAGAAAAAAGAAACAUUUUUCCAUCUCUUAAAUGAUGUGAAGAAUUCCUAUUUUAGAAAAAAAAAAAAAAAGAAAAAAGACCCUCAGUUUGUAAGUGCUUGGCUAAACAUGUAAAUCAUAAGCAUUUUACGCUUUGUUUUUUAUACUCCUUAAUUGCUAAGCUGUAAACUAAGACUUUUCAAUAAUAGUCUCUUCAUUAUUUAUCCUAUCUUAUAACCUUGAAACAGGUUGUCCCAAAGCAUUUUUCAUUGAGCUAAUAUGUGUGGAAUCUUUGGGGCGCCUGGGUGGCUCAGUCGGUUAAGCCUCUGCUUUCGGCUCAGGAUGUGAUCUCACAGUUUGUGAGUUUGAGCCCUGUGUUGGGCUCAGUGCUGACAGCGCAGAGCCUGGAGUCUGCUUCGAGUUCUGUGUCUCCCUCUGUCUCUGUGCCUCCCCUGCUCACACUCUGUCUCUCCUCUCUCUCUCUCUCUCUCUCUCUCUCUCUCUCUAAGAAUAAACAUUAAAAAAAAUAUAUAUAUAUGUGUGUG